GCCCGCUUGGCUUAGAGGUAAAGCGUUUCACUUGUAUCCCAGGAUCACAUGAAAAGAUCAGUCGUUCGAAUCGGCUAGUGGGCA